UUUUAUUUUUAUUUUUAUUUUUAUUUUUAUUUUUAUUUUUAUUUUUAUUUUUAUUUAUUUUUAUUUAUUUUCAUAGAAUCACUGCUAAAUAAUUGUGAAGAUUGUGAGUUUAGCAUUCCUUUCUUAAACAGUGAAUGUCAUACUUAAGGAGAAUAUACUGAGAUGAUGAAUUUUAAAGAUGUAUGUUUUAAAGGAAAAAGAGAAGAGGGAGCAAAAGUUAAAAGUAAGCUUUUUGGUAAGCUUAAAGGCUUUUAAACUAAUUCUGAGUAUUGCCUUGUAGACAUCAAUUUGUACUCCUCGUAAAGGUAAAAGUGUGGCCAGACUCUUCACUGCAGAUAAACAUCCUUCAGUGUAACAGAAAGAAACCUGCAGAGAAUCAAUCUGUAAAUCUGGUUAUGAGAUGGGUCCUGUACUCAGCUUUUGAUUGGGUUUGAGGGUAUUGCUCUGUUUUAGGACAGGCAAAAAGCCUUUUUAAAAUACAAAUAAACAUACAAACAACAACAACAACAAAAUGCACAACACCCCAAAGCAUAAAUAGAUGAUACCCAUCUGUUAGCUAGAGAUCAGCUAGGAAUCUUAGUUCAUGCAUGCUUAAGACAUAAGUGUAUAAAAUAAGGUUUUAGAAGAAUUUAUAGCUAGGAUUCAUCUCACCUACAUUUAGAUAUCCACAUGGUAGAUCCACAGGUAGACCUGAUCAGUCUUUUAUAGCUCAUCAACAGAAAUGGGUUGUGAACUGUGCUUUAUCUGAGCUCUCUUACUUUUUUACCUUAUUAUGAAAUUUAUUUCACACUUAGAAUACCUAUUUGUCUCUAUGGAAAGGGUGAUCAGCUCAGGUGAACAUAUGAAUCCCACUGCUGGAUGCCAAGUCCAAUGCUGUUAUUCAGAAUUUCAUCCUUUAAGAUAAUGAUACAUAUAGAAAGUAUUAAGAUAUUGCAGUGUACCUUGAAACCACAGAACCAAGGAUUUCUGUGGAAAGGCAAUUCACUUUUCACUAACCUUCCGCUUCCUCACCGAAUAUGAUCUCAUGGGGAUGCUUAGAUUUGUACCCUAAUGAACAUCAUCCAUGAUGAAAACCAUGUGUCAAGAUAGUUCUGAAUUCCCCUUGCACAAUCUUCUUCCUUUCUGGGAAGCCAGUCCUACUACUGAUGUUCUGCACACAAUGUCUGUUUGGGCACGCUGUUAUGAAAAGGCAAGAGAAUAGCUACUAGGGCUGAAAAUAGGAUGGACUUGUGAGAAAAGACUAAAUCCAUUUGUGUUUUCCCUUCCUGGCUUCCAUUCAUCUGCAGUGGACAUUUCUCCAUAACAGAAGGCAUGACUGGAACUGGGGUUUUAGUACAAACUUUGCAGAAGUGACUCUUCCUGAACAAGUGGACGAAUAAUUUCUGCUGUUAUAUAAUCCUAGAUCAACAGGUUCCCCUUCCCCCCCGUAAAUUUGAAUAUGAAAGAAUGAAGGCAACAUUUCAAAAUAAAUAUAUAUGUAAAAAUAUGCAUAACAUUGUUGAAAUAUUAGAAUUGUUUUAAGGCUUUUCAUAUGUCAAUUCAUAUAUUUUGUAAUAAUAUUCAACUAUUUUAAAGUGUUUUGCUGGUAAUGUAUCUUUGGAUACUAAAUAAUUAAUCACUUCAUCUUACUUUUCAGUAGAGGGCACUCAGAACAAAUCAUAGAUCAGAGUAAAGUCUAAAAGACACUAAACAUCAUGCAAGAUAUAUAUUAGAAACACCACUAUGUCUCAAGCAAGGAUAGUAUAUAUUUACAUAUGUUUUAAAUGUAAAGCAGCACCAAUAAAAGAUAAAACUUAGCAAAACUUGAGCUGUAUCUUGUGAACAUUAUUACGUAUUUCACAGCAUGAUGUAAGUAAGCUAUUAAAUUUUGAGAAAAAGUGGUUUGUUCAUCUUUAUGGAUUAACUACCAGAGUCUAAUAAAAUAUUUAACAACUUUUUAAUGAA